AUUGAACGCUGGCGGCAGGCCUAACACAUGCAAGUCGAACGGUAACAGAAAGCAGCUUGCUGCUUUGCUGACGAGUGGCGGACGGGUGAGUAAUGUCUGGGAAACUGCCUGAUGGAGGGGGAUAACUACUGGAAACGGUAGCUAAUACCGCAUAACGUCGCAAGACCAAAGAGGGGGACCUUCGGGCCUCUUGCCAUCGGAUGUGCCCAGAUGGGAUUAGCUAGUAGGUGGGGUAAAGGCUCACCUAGGCGACGAUCCCUAGCUGGUCUGAGAGGAUGACCAGCCACACUGGAACUGAGACACGGUCCAGACUCCUACGGGAGGCAGCAGUGGGGAAUAUUGCACAAUGGGCGCAAGCCUGAUGCAGCCAUGCCGCGUGUAUGAAGAAGGCCUUCGGGUUGUAAAGUACUUUCAGCGGGGAGGAAGGGAGUAAAGUUAAUACCUUUGCUCAUUGACGGUACCCGCAGAAGAAGCACCGGCUAACUCCGUG
rnacentral:rRNA from 1 species